rnacentral:rRNA from 1 species
UUGACCUCGGAUCAGGUAGGAAUACCCGCUGAACUUAAGCAUAUCAAUAAGCGGAGGAAAAGAAACCAACAGGGAUUGCCUCAGUAACGGCGAGUGAAGCGGCAACAGCUCAAAUUUGAAAUCUGGCCUCUUUGGGGUCCGAGUUGUAAUUUGGAGAGGAUGUUUCGGGCACCGCCCCGGUCUAAAUUUCUUGGAACAGAAUGUCAGAGAGGGUGAGAAUCCCGUCUUGGACCGGCGGUAGGGCUCAUGUGAAACUCCUUCGACGAGUCGAGUUGUUUGGGAAUGCAGCUCAAAAUGGGUGGUAAAUUUCAUCUAAAGCUAAAUAUUGGCCAGAGACCGAUAGCGCACAAGUAGAGUGAUCGAAAGAUGAAAAGCACUUUGAAAAGAGAGUUAAACAGUAUGUGAAAUUGUUGAAAGGGAAGCGCUUGCGACCAGACUUGCGCGCGGCGGUUCCCCUGGCCUUUUGGCCAGGUUACUCCGUCGUGCCCAGGCCAACAUCGGUUCUGGGGGCCGGUCAAAGGCCCCGGGAAUGUAUCUACCCUUCGGGCGUAGACUUAUAGCCCGGGGUGUCAUGCGGCCUCCUGGGACCGAGGAACGCGCUUCGGCUCGGAUGUUGGCAUAAUGGUCGCCAGCGACCCGUCUUGAAACACGGACCAAGGAGUCGUAGAAUUUUGCGAGUGUUUGGGUGUCAAACCCGGAACGCGUAAUGAAAGUGAACGGAGGUAGGAAGCUUUGGCUGCACUAUCGACCGAUCCUGAUGUCUUCGGAUGGAUUUGAGUAAGAGCAAAAUUCUUCGGACCCGAAAGAUGGUGAACUAUGCCUGAAUAGGGUGAAGCCAGAGGAAACUCUGGUGGAGGCUCGCAGCGGUUCUGACGUGCAAAUCGAUCGUCAAAUUUGGGUAUAGGGGCGAAAGACUAAUCGAAUCAUCUGGUAGCUGGUUCCUGCCGAAGUUUCCCUCAGGAUAGCAGUAACGUUUUCAGUUUUAUGAGGUAAAGCGAAUGAUUAGAGGCCUUGGGGUUGAAACAACCUUAACCUAUUCUCAAACUUUAAAUAUGUAAGAAGUCCUUGUUGCUUUUUUGAACGUGGACAUUCGAAUGUAUCGUUACUAGUGGGCCAUUUUUGGUAAGCAGAACUGGCGAUGCGGGAUGAACCGAACGUGAGGUUAAGGUGCCGGAAUGUACGCUCAUCAGACACCACAAAAGGUGUCAAUGCAUCCAGACAGCCGGACGGUGGCCAUGGAAGUUGGAAUCCGCUUAGGAGUGUGUAACAACUCACCGGCCGAAUGCAUUGGCCCUGAAAAUGGAUGGCGCUUAAGCGUGCUACCUAUACCUCGCCGUCAGGGUUGACAUGAUGCCCUGACGAGUAGGCAGGCGUGGAGGUCCGUACCGAAGCCUUGGGGGUGACCCCGGGUCGAACGACCUCUAGUGCAGAUCU